rnacentral:tRNA from 1 species
GCCUGAGUGGCUCAGUUGGUUAAGCGUCUGACUUCGGCUCAGGUCAUGAUCUCGCGGUUUUUGAGUUCGAGCCCCACGUCAGGCU